UCAAGAUCCACUCAUAUCUCAAAUGGCAAGAUACCCUCCCUUAUCAUGGCUGGAUAACAUUCCCACCCACCACCGCCCCUUCCCAUACCAUCAGAGACCUCAGGACCCACUCUACACCACCCUAGUGCACUGAUGAGUGCCCCGGAAUUCUCAACUCUGGCCAGGCCAUUGCUUAUUAUUCUGUCCUCACAGCGAACCUACAGGUUAGGCUCAGGACCAGAGCAUGAUGAAUAUCACUUUUCCACUGGGGCUGAAGUCACAGGGCCAAAAGACAGAGGCCGUCAUCCAGAAAACAAAAUUGUUUUUGUCUGAAUGUGCCAUUGGAGAUACUCUGAAAAACAGGCUUUUCAGAAUCCCAGUGCCAGACACAAAUUAGGUACUCACUACAUGUGCGUUAUUUGGUUGGUUGUUUUUAGACAUGUGUGGAAUGAUGCCAUUAUGCUACAGAUACUCCAACACACAAAAUCAAAGUUUUUGUCAAGGAAGGC
rnacentral:lncRNA from 1 species